ensembl:snRNA U6 U6 spliceosomal RNA
AUGCUCUCUUUUCAACAGCACAUAUACUAAAACUGGAAUGAUACAGAGAAGAUUAGCAUGGCCUCUGCACAAGGAUGACACGCAAAUUCAUGAAGCGUUCCAUAUUUUU